rnacentral:lncRNA from 1 species
UGGGGAGGACAUCACUGUCAGGUGGUCUAGGAAAUGAAUGCCACAAAAGGGAAUAUUGAUACAAAAUUGUUUAUUGAUGGGAAUACUAUGCCCUGCGUAUCGAAAUCCAAGAAAGUCAUUUAGAUUUUGCAAUUGCUCUGCUGCCUUGUGUUUAAAUCUGGCGGUGACAUCUGCUGCUCUUUUGGUUGAGUUGUUGGGACAAUUAUUCCUGGAAUGAGAUGGUUCUCUUAAGCCAUCCAUUUGAUCCAACCUCAUGUUCAUUCAAUCAUUCUGGACUUUAAAGCUUCUGAUGUUGAAUUCCGAACCUUACUUUCUGAACUGAGAAACGAUGUUGUGGAAUAUCUACUUUUAGCUCAUGCGUGCACCAUGCAAGGCGAUCAUUUUGGUCUCAGUUUCGAGAGUAGAUGGACGUAGUAGUCUCAGUACCUCCAAUGGUGAUUCGGGCUCUUCAUCAAGUGAUUCAGAUCCAGGCACUUCUUCAGAUGGUGAAUCAGAAGGUGUUUCCUCAAUUUUGGCAAUGGCCCUGCUGAAGAUAGUUAAUAUGG